UACAGAGGUGGCAAGCGUUGUUCGGAAUUACUGGGCGUAAAGGGCGAGUAGGUGGCCAUCUAAGUCAGACGUGAAAUCCCCCGGCUUAACCUGGGAACUGCGUCUGAUACUGGACGGCUUGAGUAUGGGAGAGGAACGUAGAAUUCCAGGUGUAGCGGUGAAAUGCGUAGAUAUCUGGAGGAAUACCGGUGGCGAAGGCGGGACUCUGGGCCGAUACUGACGCUGAGGAGCGAAAGCGUGGGGAGCAAACAGG
rnacentral:rRNA from 1 species